ACUUUUUGUUAAUGAAUAAAAUUCUAUUAUUUGGAAAAUAAUUCAUCUUUAUCAGAUCACAACAUAUGCUGAAGAGUGUCUAGCAGUUCUGAAAGCACCCAUUUGUUUCCUGUACAGUGUAACCUACAGUUAGAUCAGUGACCUACACUGUAAUGAUCAUAAAUGUACAGCAAGCAGCACAAAAUUAACAGUUGCACUGGCAGUGUGAUAUUCAUAGAUGUACACCAACCACCACACAAUUCCUAACAGACCCCAAACAGCAGGGCCAGAGAGAGCACAGUCCCCCACAACACAUUCCUGUAACUUACUGUAGAUGUGCCCUAUCAAAGCCUCCCUGAGCCAUACAGCUUCACAUUGAGCAAUUUUAACAGCCUUUGUGUCUGGCUGUUCAAACUCAGCAGACAGCCACUCCACCCCACACCACUCGCAAACUUGCCCUCUUUGCUUCACAGAUAUUAUGCAGGUCACAGCAGAUGCUUGUAACCGCUGGGAUGGUUUUUUCCACUGAGAUCCAAUCUUGUACGUGAGCAAUACCAGCAUCCCUUCAAUCUACCAAAAGCACAUUCAACUGUCUUUCUGCCUCUUACUGAGCGGAUACUUGCAUCUCUCUUUGCUGCUGCUGAUGUGACCGGUGUACAGCUUCGUAAGCCAGAGGAGUAAUAUGUAGGCUGGAUCCCAGGAUCACUACUGGCAUUUUAACAUCACCAAUGGUAAUCCACCGGUCAGGAAAGAAAGUGCCUGCUCAUGGCUUUCUGAACAGUCCUGUGUUCUUAAAGAUGUGAGUGUCAUGCACCUUCCGUGACCAGGCAACUGAUGUUGGUGAAGCAUCCCUGGUGAUCCACCAAUGCUUGCAUAACCUCUGAAAAGCAGCCCUUUCUGUGGCAAGGUGCUCUAGUGCCAAAAUAGGGAGAUGCAUUCUGUCUAUUGCUCCACUGCAGUUCAGGAAUCCCACUGACGCAAAUCCAUCCACUAUGCCCUGCAUGUUGCUGAGAGUCACAGUCCUACAUCACAGAUGAUC